GCCCUUGUUCCCAGAGGCGGAGACGGCAGUGGCGGUGGCGGUGGCGGUGGCAGCAGCAUUUCGGCCAUAGAGGACGCAAUGGGCAUAUGAGUUCCCAUCCCCGCCUGCUGCACCCCAUGGACUGCCAAGGACCCGGGAGCAGCGUCGCUCCCUCCCGGGGCUUUGUGGCUCGCCUUUGGCAACAUCCGCUGGCUGCAGCAGCUGGAGCCUGAGUCUCUCUUUGAAACCCUACCCCCACCCCGCUUUUUCACUCUCCGUCCUUCUCUCUCCACCCCUUUGCCUAGCAAGUAGGAGCCUGAGCCCCUCCUGCGCAUCCGCCACCCUGUCCUGCACCCGAAGCAUCCUUCAGUCUCUUUUCUCUCACUCUCCCGGCGACAGCGGCCAUCGCCUCCCGCCGCCUCCCAUGCUGCAUCCAGUCCCGGGCGGCGCCCCAGUGGCCGCAGCUCGGGGCUUGGUGACCUCAGCCGGACACUCACUCUGGCCCCUUUCACCCUUCUUGAGUCCUACUAGUUGAGUUCGGGGCAAGGGACUAAUAUAGAAGCUCUGGAAUGGCAUCGGUGAGGGAGCCUGGCACUGUGAAAUCACCAACUUCCCGCUAGCAGAGGAAGGGUGGAAACAAGAAGGGUCUUCUCUAUAUUGCCUUAUCUCCUUCUCUGCCCUAUCACCCUCCCCCUUCACUUCCCUCUUUCCUCUUUAAAAAAAAUUGUAAUUCCCAUCGCUGUGUGUUUUGUUGCUGUCUUGGAAGGCAUGAAGAGGCAGCGAACGGUGGUACAGGAGACAAAGACCACUUUGUAAAGGUAGUUGGACCGAGUGGGAUGUGUGAUUACCCGUCCCUUUGCCCCCUGUGGUGCCCAGCCCCCUGUAUGGUACAGCUGUAUAUCCUCUCUUUGCUAUCCAUCUCCAGAGGGAAAUAGCCAGUCCCCCCCCCCCCUUACUCUCCCUCCCUUUCUCUUUUCUUCUUCCUCUCAUCCCCCCUCCCAGACCCAGUCCAGUCUCCCUAAGAAAAAGCUGCCAGCAAAUCGUCUGUUCCUGAAGCCGACUGGUCCAUCAGAGCCUUGGUCCCUGGGGCUAAUGUCGUCUUGUGUGCCUUGUAGAGGAAUUUGUUCUUCCUGAAGCUGGAACUGAGGGGCACUAAGUCAGCGCGCACUGAUGUGCCUUGCCCUCUCUUUUUGAAGCUGAUCCGAGCUGUCAGGCGGCUGGCCCGUUAGACUUUUUUUUAACCCCAGGCUUCUGUCAUUGUUCUUCCAGAGUGCUUUGGGCUGUACAGACCGAGUGUGUUUGUGUGCAGGCCUCUUAGGCUAUGCUUUCUUUACUCGCUUCUGUUUUCUUUUUAACAAAUCCAAGUAUUACUGCAAGGUUGAUCUCCGACAGCCAAGACCCUUUCUGCCCGGGGUGUACCCUGAUAUUGCACUGAUUCUAUCUUUUCUUUUUAAAUUAUUGUUUUAUUAUAAAUGAACCACACCCUGGUUUCUUAAAGGGGCCCUACACUUCGGUGGGUCAUGUGUUGUCUCUUUGGCAGUGAGUGAAUCAAUUCAGUCAGUAGUUUCCUUCGAGCUACCUAAUUUUCCUUUUUCUGGAAACAUUUUUUUUUUUUCCUGAAGAGUUUGGGAUGCCUGGGGGGAAAAAGGUGGGCCCCAGUGGCAGUGGUACCACUGUUGCCUCUGGGGUCAGGAGAUCUGAAACCAGUGAAGGGGCUUCAGCACAGAGAGAAGAAGAGCAAGAAGAAGAAGGGGAUGAAGAUCUUCGAGAUGGAGGUGUCCCCUUCUUUGUUAACCGGGGCGGGCUGCCCGUGGAUGAGGCCACUUGGGAGAGGAUGUGGAGGCAUGUGGCCAAGAUUCACCCUGAUGGAGAGAAGGUGGCACAGAGGAUCCGUGGGGCUACAGACCUGCCCAAGACUCCCAUACCAAGUGUGCCUACAUUCCAGCCGUCCACAUCUAUCCCUGAGCGCCUGGAAGCCAUACAGCGUUAUAUCAGGGAGCUGCAGUACAAUCAUACAGGAACACAGUUCUUUGAAAUUAAGAAGAGCAGACCUCUGACUGGGCUGAUGGACCUGGCUAAGGAGAUGACCAAAGAGGCUCUGCCAAUCAAAUGCCUAGAAGCUGUGAUCCUGGGAAUUUACCUCACCAACAGCAUGCCCACACUGGAGCGCUUCCCCAUCAGCUUCAAAACCCACUUCUCAGGGAAUUACUUCCGACAUAUCGUGCUGGGGGUGAACUUUGGGGGUCGCUACGGAGCGCUAGGCAUGAGCCGUCGGGAGGACCUCAUGUACAAGCCCCCCACUUUCCGCACGCUCAGCGAGCUGGUCUUGGAUUAUGAGGCCGCCUAUCAGCGCUGCUGGCACGUCCUGAAAAAAGUGAAACUCGGCCAGUGUGUUUCUCAUGACCCCCAUAGCGUGGAGCAGAUUGAGUGGAAACACUCUAUCCUGGAUGUGGAGAAGCUGGGGCGAGAGGACUUUCGGAAAGAGCUAGAGCGACACGCCCGGGACAUGAGACUGAAGAUCAGCAAAGGAACUGGCCCACCCUCUCCUACCAAGGAUCGGAAAAAGGAUGUAUCUUCCCCCCAGCGGAGCCAGUCCAGUCCACAUCGCCGCAACAGCCGAGGAGAGAGACGACCAUCUGGUGAGAAGAAGCCUGCUGAACCCAAAGCCAUGCCAGACCUCAACGGGUACCAAAUCCGGGUGUGAGGUGGGUGGUGAGGAGACCACUUGCUGCACAGACUUGCCAUCACCCCCUCGGCCACAGGACCAAGCCGCCCACCGCAGAAAGAACAUGGUUCUCACCCAGCAUUUGUGGAAGAGGCACAUUGACCCUAAGGGGAAGAGGAAGAGGAGUCAGUAUGAUCCCAGAGAUUUGUUUAAUACAGACCAUAAAGCAACGUGUUGAACAGAUAAGUGGCCGUGACCACCUAGGCCCCAUGGGAAGCACUGCCAGCCUAGACAACGCCCAACAUAAAGACUUGGGCUACUGCACUCGAGAUAAGGAGGAGGAGCUCCCCAUACCCAGCUCGGUAGCUGUUGCCUGUGAGGCUUUGAGAAGCCUCAGCUACAGGGCUCAGCUUCAAGCCCUCCCUGUGGCCAUCCACUCAUGGCUCUCUCUACAGCAAGGUUUGGACUUCUCUGGAGCCCCAGGGGCCUGGUCAUGUUGGGUUGGACAUAGGUGAGCACAUAAAGUAGGGCAGACCAAGAAGAAAGUAGGGGUGGGAGGCAAGCACAUAACUCAUGAGAGAUGGGACACCACGGAAGGCGAAGAGUCUCGUGUCAGCUCCGGCUCUCCUUCCGUUUCUUGGGCAGGAGCUUCAGCUCAGUCUCCUCCUCUCCCUGUCCCGUAGCAUCCUUACAAGUUUUGGUCUUCUUCCUCAGACAGAGAAUCAGGGACCGGAGAUGAUGAUGUCUGGAGCUGAUUGGUCCUUUCUCUUUCACCAGCUAAAUUUAGUAAUUUUGGUGACUGUGAUCCUAGCUGUGUGUAAUAGGAAGAAACCUCCACUAUGGGAUGAGAUUUUCAGCAGCCCUCUAGUCCCAGUAAGAAAGAAGACAAGUAUUGGAAUAAUCAUUGAGCUCUGUCCAUCAGGCACCGGGUACAUUUGUGAAAGGAAGUACUAACCCAGGUCUGAGGCAGGGGGAAAAAUAUUCAGAGAGCAUCAAGGCGUCCUUGGAUGGGGGCUUUCAUAAUUAAUGGGUGUGACAUGAAUGAAGACCCAGCAAAAGUCAGAGAAGAAGCAACCAGACAUGUUGGAGGACUGAGAGAGUUGUUUCAGUUGAGUGGAAUUCAAGGCUGAGUAGGAAGAAACAGAGCAGUUCAGAAGGUUACGGGUUAAUGGGAGAAUGAGAAGGCCAGGACAUAAUGGCAAGAGGCCGAAGGGAUAUUGAGAGGUCAAGAGUUAGUGAGAGGAAGCGGCAGGACAUUAAACAAGCCAGGGCAAGAGACAGAGAGAGAAUCCAAGACUCACAGAGCAAGGAGACUGCUGGAUGAAGCCCCAUUACAGCAGCAGGGAUCCUGGGAGAUGGGGGCCAUUCUAGAGGGCUCAGUGGCGAUGUUGUGUGUUGUUGUAAGGCCAGGAGGAAGGACUGAGGCAUGUAGCAGAGUGGGAAUAUUGAAGGAGGGUUGAAUGGGGAUGAGGAAGGUUGUACUCAGAAUUUACAGACAAGGACCCAGAAUAAAAUGGGCCAGUGGGAGAAGCAAAGUCAGGGCAGGGUAAGUAUGAAGUGAUGCUUUGGGGGAGAUGAAGAGGAAACAUAAAAUCCCUAACUUUCCAGAAAGAAAAAAGGAAAAAGAAAACAUCAUUCAUGCUACUGAAUUCAAAAGAAAAUUAUAUUAGUCCGAGAGAUGUGGAUAGGAGGGUGGGAAUAGAAGGGGGCCUUGUUUAUCCUGCUCCCUUCAUCCUGUCAGCAGACCAAAGUGAUUGCUGUGUCACUGAAAGGGGGCAAGGGAUAGAGCAGAAAUGGAUGUAGGGCAGAGUUCAGCAGAGGAAAAACUGAUAGGGCCUAAAAAAGGAGAGGAGCCUCAGGCCCAGGAAGAGGAUAAGGACAGAGGAAGCAAGCUUGGUGCCACUCAUUGCACCCAUGGGGCAGGCAAGAAAGCGAGCCGCACUUGAGGAUGCCCUUAGCCAGAGGGCACCAGCCUGGGGCUCAGGCUUGUGCAGCAGGGCUCCCUCCCUGAUCUGGCUGGGUCUGCCCCAGGGGGUGUGCAGCCCAUCUAGUACAGCCUUAGUCCAGAACAAAUGCUGCCUUGGCAGGCCCCUGUGAGGGGGAGUUACACCUGGUAACAGCUGCUGCUGCUGCUCUGUGGGUGUGGGAGGCGUUCUUGGGCUCCAGAGGGAACAGUUGCCUUUCUCAGCAGCUGUCCAACUAGAGACUGCCAGGAUACUUGGAGGUGACAGCUGGUCCAUCUGACUUAGAGACCAGGCUUGUCCUUUCGGUCCAGGGCCGUCCGUCUGCUUCACCAAGGAUAGCCAAAGGCAGCCCCAGGAGCUGGAGGGAAGGUGGAGAGGAAGGAGACUAGGGAGACUCUGGUCUCCCUGGCUCAGCCCCAGGACUAACAGGAAGCCCUGCGUCCUGUGCUAACCCCUCACCCAACCCUCCCAAGGAAGGAACCCGAAGAUGGGUCUAUACUCACUUAGCAUCCAGGAAUCUUAUUUCCCAGGACUGGGAAGGAACCUUAUUUUCCCCAUCCCCCACCACUACCCACCAUUCCACAGUGGUUUCCCAAACAGGUAAUGAUGGUCAUGACAUGUUUAUAAUUACUAAAAAAAAAUGAUAAUAAUGAUAAAAAUAAUAACUCCCUUUAGCAGGAUGAGCCAGAAAAUAAAAAGCAAGUGAUUCAUUGGUACAGUAUGGCCCCUUAAAAUCUGCCUCAGUUUGGGUCAUGCACCUCUUUAAUAAACAGGAGGUAUGAGGGGGUAAUUUGGGGAUAGGAAGCUCAGUGUGAAAUGGACCUUAACCACUGACCAGGCUCAGUGGCACCAGAGCUCUGAGAAAACACUUGAAAGCUACCCUAUCUUUCCCCAUAAUCCAAGCAUGUAAAGCUAGGAGCCCCUAACUCUGAGAGGGAAAAAAACCCCAACUCUUCCUGUUAAAACUACGAGCAAAGCAGCUGCUUAGUCUUUCCUGUCGGUGAUUUCCCCAGACUAUUCUCUGGGCUUUGGGGUGAUGUAAGGAAAAUCAUGUAAAACAAAACAAAACCCAUUGGUGCUUUUUAUUUAUUUUUUAAAGGGUUUUUUAUAUGUAGCAAUCCCAGGUCCCUUCCCUCCCCCACUAUGUUUACACUUUGUUCCCUGGGGAGGGUGGGAGAAAAGGACCAGCAGCCCUCUGGAAUUUCUAAGUGAGAAAGCAGGAACCUUUGUUUUUUAGCUUCCCAGCUGGGGGAAAGCAUCCACCCCAGCCAAUGUUUGUUUGGAAAUAGUGGGAGGAGAGACAACAUCAACCCUAUUGCCUUUUCCUUCCAGUGUCAAUUUAAUUGAGUUUCCCUCUGUCUCUGGAAGCUCUUGGUCCCAGUCCCUGUGAAACAUAUAAGGAUUCAUGGCGUUCUCCCCCUUCCUUAUGAAUCAUCAGCCCAUAUGCCCAUUACCACAUUGUUUAUGACUUUUUCUAACCAUACCAUUAUCUCCUAUGACUCCUCCAGGAUAUGAUAAGGAAAACUAUGGGCGUGAAAAAAGGCAACAUUAUCCUGCAGUCUGUUUUACCUUAACCAUCUCUGCUAGCAGUUAUUGCCAUGGGGUUGCCACAAGAGGAGAUCAGUCAUCAUAGAGAGUGAAGGGGAUAAUAGAAAUCACCAGAGACCCCGAUGGGGGAACAGAGGCCUCAUUUGCCUGGCUUCUCAAGGGCAGAACGAGCUGUAGAGUAGUCGGUGGAUAGCCUACAGGGCACCCUAUAGUUUUGAGUUCUGCUUCAGACCCAGCUCUUGCAGCGAUGGCCAAUGUGUACCCACACCUUUGUGUGCAUUCACUCCCAUCCUCUUACAGAGGCAAGUCUAACUGGAUGCACAGUUGGGUGUCUGUGGGCUUUGGCUCUUGUCUUCUUGAUUAGCAGCAGUAGCAGAGCCGGAAUGCUCCACACCAUCGCUUCAGCCCCCAUAAACAGUGGCUCCCAGCAAUAGUGUGUGUUUGGAAGGGUGGAGGGAGCAGGGAUUAGCCUCCUUCCAUCCCUGACAGUCCGGGAAUUCCAUGGUGUGCCAUAGCCUGUGCCAACAAAGACCCUGACUCUCCAUCAGCACCUUCCUCAACCCCACUGAAAAGCCAAGGUCCGAGCGAAAAUGGACUGGCCCAUUCUGGAAUUUGACCAAGAGAACCAGACCCGGAUAUCGUCUGCUCCCUUCCCCUUGCUUCUCUGCCCCUGACUUUCUAUUUCCAUCUCACCCUUUCCAUUUGUAGGGUAGGCCCCAUCAUGGUGCUAGCCCCAAGCCAACCAGUAUUGGUCCCCUCUAAGUUAUUUCCUGAUGCUCUGGAGCCACUGAAGUUUCCCUUAAUCAUGAAGUUUGAAAAGGAUGGAAGAGGAGCUCAGGCAUGCCUGACAAAAUGAUGGAAUCUCUCUCUCCCCCUCAUGUUUUGUAUCCAACUAUGUACCAUAUGUAGAAUUAGUUCUCUCUGAUCCCCUGUAUUUCCAUCCCUUCAUAUCAGUAUUGAAACCCCUUUCACUUUUAUGCUUUACCUCAUUCUUGUCUUCACUUUUACACAAUUAAUAAAGUCUACCCAGCUCCUGUUACCUGGACUGGGCAGAAACCAGGAUCUAACAA